rnacentral:rRNA from 1 species
GUGGGGAAUAUUGGACAAUGGGCGAAAGCCUGAUCCAGCCAUGCCGCGUGUGUGAAGAAGGUCUUCGGAUUGUAAAGCACUUUAAGUUGGGAGGAAGGGCAGUAAGUUAAUACCUUGCUGUUUUUACGUUACCGACAGAAUAAGCACCGGCUAACUUCGUGCCAGCAGCCGCGGUAAUACGAAGGGUGCAAGCGUUAAUCGGAAUUACUGGGCGUAAAGCGCGCGCAGGUGGGUUUGUAAGUUGGGGGUGAAAUCCCCGGGCUCAACCAGGGAACUGACUCCAAAACUGGAUGACUAGAGUACGGUAGAGGGUAGUGGAAUUUCCUGUGUAGCGGUGAAAUGCGUAGAUAUAGGAAGGAACACCAGUGGCGAAGGCGACUACCUGGACUGAUACUGACACUGAGGUGCGAAAGCGUGGGGAGCAAACAGGAUUAGAAACCCUGGUAGUCC